UACGAAGGGGGCUAGCGUUGCUCGGAAUCACUGGGCGUAAAGGGUGCGUAGGCGGGUCUUUAAGUCAGGGGUGAAAUCCUGGAGCUCAACUCCAGAACUGCCUUUGAUACUAAGGAUCUUGAGUUCGGGAGAGGUGAGUGGAACUGCGAGUGUAGAGGUGAAAUUCGUAGAUAUUCGCAAGAACACCAGUGGCGAAGGCGCUCACUGGCCCGAUACUGACGCUGAGGCACGAAAGCGUGGGGAGCAAACAGGG
rnacentral:rRNA from 1 species